GACGAACGCUGGCGGCGUGCUUAACACAUGCAAGUCGAAGGAUGAAGCCGGAGCUUGCUCUGGUGAAUUAGUGGCGAACGGGUGAGUAACACGUGAGUAACCUGCCCUUGACUCUGGGAUAACUGCGGGAAACUGUAGCUAAUACCGGAUACGACCCUCGGAGGCAUCUCCUGGGGGUGGAAAGAAUUUCGGUCAAGGAUGGGCUCGCGGCCUAUCAGCUAGUUGGUGAGGUAAAGGCUCACCAAGGCGACGACGGGUAGCCGGCCUGAGAGGGUGACCGGCCACACUGGGACUGAGACACGGCCCAGACUCCUACGGGAGGCAGCAGUGGGGAAUAUUGCACAAUGGGCGCAAGCCUGAUGCAGCAACGCCGCGUGAGGGAUGACGGCCUUCGGGUUGUAAACCUCUUUUAGCAGGGAAGAAGCGAAAGUGACGGUACCUGCAGAAAAAGCACCGGCUAACUACGUGCCAGCAGCCGCCGUAA
rnacentral:rRNA from 1 species